AGGGAUUUUGCAGUGAUUCAACCUGCGCAAGUUGCAACAAACAGUUAGUCUCUAGCACUCUUUUCUGAAUAUUAGAAUAAUUUUGUUUGUUUAGUGCUCUCAGAUCCUUUUUUAUGCAUUUCAGCUUCCAACACAGGCUUGUGAGAUUUGCUGCAGUGCUUCCGGCCCCAGCCCACGCCAGAGAGACCACUUGGAGAAAGGUCGGGUGUUUAGUCAAGUAGUUCAGAAAUCUAAAAGGCUGGGUUCCUACUUUAGGGAGUUGAAAUGCAAGGUCAGUAAGGCAAGGAGAAUGGUCAUAGGGCAAGGGAGGGAGGAAGGAGGCGAAAGCAUUAGGGAAGAUGGAGAGGAUGUGGUUGUUUAUGAGUAAACGGUCUAGUUUCUUAGCUAUGGGGGAGACAGGGCAGGAAUUGGUC
rnacentral:lncRNA from 1 species